UACGGAGGAUCCAAGCGUUAUCCGGAUUCAUUGGGUUUAAAGGGUGCGUAGGCGGAAUGAUAAGUCAGUGGUGAAAUCCUGCAGCUUAACUGCAGAACUGCCAUUGAUACUGCCAAUCUUGAGUACAUUUGAUGUGGGCGGAAUGUGUCAUGUAGCGGUGAAAUGCUUAGAUAUGACACAGAACACCGAUUGCGAAGGCAGCUCACAAAACUGUAACUGACGCUGAGGCACGAAAGCGUGGGUAUCAAACAGG
rnacentral:rRNA from 1 species